rnacentral:lncRNA from 1 species
GAUGUGAAAGCGGAGAGACCAGCAAGCACAGUAUGAUUCCUUCCGGAAAGCAACUGGACCGAGGUAUUUACUGUAAAAGCUGAAGCUGCUGGAGAAAACAUUUCGGAACAGAAGUAUAAGCCAGAAACAAUAGCAAGAAUAGUCAUAGAGGAAUCACAUAAUACCAUCUGCACCUCAGAGGAAACAAUUAUCAAAGUUCAGAUAUAGCCUACAGAAUGGGAGAAAAUGUUUGCCAGCCAUACGUUAAACAAGCUAUUAAUACAGAUAUCAAUAUCCACAACACGUAACAGAAAACUUCAAUUCCAAAGGACAAACGGUUCUCAGAAGAAGUGCAAAUGACCUAAAUACACACACAAAUAUUCAGCAUCUUUUCUCAUGAAAGAAACUAUAGUCAGGCUCCAUAUCACCCAGUCAAAAUGGCUGUUAUCAAGAGACCAAAAUAGAACAAGUAUUAGCCAAGAGUGUGGGAGAAAGGAACCCUUCUACACCAUGGAUGGGAAUGCAAAUCACUCCAAUCCCCAUGGGACUCAGUAUAGCAUCAUUGUUAUUGUGGUGUUAUGCACAAUGCCCAUGUUAUGCAACCAGCUCUGGUAUUCAUCAGUAGAUGAAUGGAUAAAAAUAACUGAGAUACAUAUUCAAGAUGGAUUAUCACUCAGUGGCAAAGAAGAAUGGAACCAUAUUGUUUGUAGUACA